rnacentral:rRNA from 1 species
CCUACGGGAGGCAGCAGUGAGGAAUAUUGGUCAAUGGUCGGGAGACUGAACCAGCCAAGCCGCGUGAGGGAUGAAGGUACAGCGUAUCGUAAACCUCUUUUGUCAGGGAACAAAGGCGGGGACGUGUACCCGGAUGAGUGUACCUGGAGAAAAAGCAUCGGCUAACUCCGUGCCAGCAGCCGCGGUAAUACGGAGGGUGCAAGCGUUACUCGGAAUCACUGGGCGGAAAGGGCGCGUAGGCGGGAUAGCAAGUCAGAUGUGAAAGCCGAGGGCUUAACCAGAGAACGGCAUUUGAAACUGCGAGUCUAGAGUAUGGGAGGGGUAGGUGGAAUUCUUGGUGUAGGGGUAAAAUCCGUAGAGAUCAAGAGGAAUACUCAUGGCGAAGGCGACCUGCUAGACCAUAACUGACGCUGAUGCGCGAAAGCGUGGGGAGCAAACAGGAUUAGAUACCCGAGUAGUC